rnacentral:lncRNA from 13 species
AGAACUCUCAGAGCCCAGCUCUGGAGAGUUCAAGGAUUCGAAAAUACCUCACUGCUCCCAGGAGCGGUUACCUGGGCACUCUGUGCCCUUUAUCCCUGUCCUGGUCCCUUCCUGGGGCCGAGGACCCACCAGUAGGACUCACUUGCCUUGAGCCUGCUGCCCACAUCUCUCACUUCACUUUGCUGGUGGGAUCUCUCCGUUGCUCCUGCCUCUGGAAGGAGUGGCAAGCUUUCCCACAAGUACCCAGACACCUGGAAUCAGCCUGGUGUUGAAACAAGUCCAAGGAUUUCUGUAUCCUACAAGCCCUGUGUUCUGUCCGGUGAUCCUGCCUUCAAUUUGAGGCACAGGUACCGCAGCAAACCAGUGCUGUGUGCUCGUUUUACCAGAAUGUCCAGCAGCACAGUGAUUGCAUGGAUCGUAAGGAUGCUCAGAGAAUCCCUGGAGGAGGGACAUCUCUGCCUGCUGUCCCUAAAGCACCCAGCAUGGAUGCACAGCAGGAGAGAUGCAAGUCUCAAGACGGCCUGGACCCCGUGGCCCUCCAAGCACCUGCUGCAGGGCCCCCCUCUAGACCUGUCGGGGAGGAAGUGCAGGUCAGCAGGCCCCCUGUUCUCCUCCUCAGACACCCUUUCUGCCAUCUCUGCACACUCCUGGGACUCAGCCCAGGCCUCAUCAUCUGCUCCAACACAGCCAGCCCAGGGCACCACAGAACACUCAGCCGCAGAGGCUUCCUUACCCACCACUUCCACCUCGAGCCCCCACACCAAAAGAAAGUCAACCUGGGCUGCAGACCUGGCUGGGAGCCUUCCUGACCCAUCUUCUGCCUCUCCCACCACCACCCUGGCCAGACCGAGGGUCAGUGGUCCCACCUCACUACGGAAACUUCCCGUUACUGCUGCAGCCACCACCCAGCCCAAACCUGUGGUCCUUCAUGGACAGCAGCAGGGAACCCACACCUUGAGGCAGGUUCAUCCAUAUUCCCAUCCAGCUGCUUCUGUAGUCCUUUCCCCAAUUUGUGCUU